rnacentral:lncRNA from 1 species
GUUGACGUAGGUGGAGUGGCUACAGAGAACCUUCACACACUUAUUAAUGUGGGAGCGGACGUCCCAAAUAUAGAUAGCAAGGAUUGCCGAUUUAAAAACGAAUCCUGUGCUGGUCAGCGGUAUGAUCGGUAUGUCCCUACACCGGACAUAGUGAGCUUGAAUCGAUAUGGAAACAAGAGCUGAAUUGGAGAAGAAAAGAGAGAGAAAGAGAGGAGGGAGGGAGAGAAAGGAAGGCUGGCGAAGAUGCUAAAAGUGGCCAUUGGAGGGCCAUCGAGGUCGUCCGAGCUUUGCAGUCUUUCGUGAGAGAAAAUAACAGCAGAGAGAGAUAGAGAAAGGGAGAAGAGGAGAAGAGGAAGGAGGGAAAGAUGGUGGAGAGGCCGUUGAAGGACUGUUAGAUGACUGUCGUAGUCACCGGACGGCUCGAAAAUGUCCUGUGAUCGCCGCAUGUUCGAAACAAAGGCGGCGCCCUUGUUUCAUUGUCUUUUCUUAAAAAAAUAAUAAAUAGUGAAGCUGGUAAUAGAUUUUUGGACCAUUCAGUGACCAC